UCCUACGGGGCGCAGCAGUGGGGGAUAUUGCACAAUGGGGGAAACCCUGAUGCAGCGACGCCGCGUGAGGGAAGACGGCCUUCGGGUUGUAAACCUCUGUCGCAGGGGACGAAGGAAGUGACGGUACCUGACCAAGAAGCCCCGGCUAACUACGUGCCAGCAGCCGCGGUAAUACGUAGGGGGCAAGCGUUAUCCGGAUUUACUGGGUGUAAAGGGGGCGCAGACGGCAAUGCAAGCCAGGAGUGAAAGCCCGGGGCCCAACCCCGGGACUGCUCUUGGAACUGCAUGGCUGGAGUACAGGAGGG
rnacentral:rRNA from 1 species